UACGGGGGGGCAAGCGUUGUUCGGAAUUACUGGGCGUAAAGGGCUCGUAGGCGGCCAACUAAGUCAGACGUGAAAUCCCCAGGCUUAACCUGGGAACUGCGUCUGAUACUGGAUGGCUUGAAUUCGGGAGAGGGAUGCAGAAUUCCAGGUGUAGCGGUGAAAUGCGUAGAUAUCUGGAGGAAUACCGGUGGCGAAGGCGGCAUCCUGGACCGAGAUUGACGCUGAUGAGCGAAAGCUAGGGGAGCGAACAGG
rnacentral:rRNA from 1 species